rnacentral:rRNA from 1 species
AUGGAAAUUUUGGGAAAGAUAUUAUUUGGCGGGCAAUGCUACACGUACAAAGGAUGUUAUAUUCGUAGGUGUAGGAUCAUUGUUAUUUCGCCCAUUGCGCUCUCGCAGCAAAAAGUGAGGUCAACAGUUUUCCUAAAAAAAAUAAAAGAGUCAAAGCAACCGACGACCUCGGCCAGUGGAGAGGAGGGGAACAGGUGGACGUCCAUGGACGCCACGGCGGAUCCCCUGCUGCCCCAGCCGGCAGCCGCCGUGGACCACCUCGGCCGCCCAGUAUCCCGCCUCACCUCCGGCCGGUGGCCCGCCGCGUUCUUCAUCAUCGGCGUGGAGAUCUCCGAGCGGUUCGCCUACACCGGCAUCUCAGGGAACCUCAUCGCCUACCUCACCGGACCGCUAGGGCAGUCCACGGCGUCGGCCGCCGCGACCAUCAACGCCUGGAACGGCGUCGCGCUUCUGCUGCCGCUGCUCGGCGUGGCCGCCGUCGCCGAUUCCUGGCUCGGCCGUUACCGGACCGUAGUCUGUGCCUCUCUGCUCUACAUCCUGGGCCUGGGCAUGCUCACGCUAUCAUCAAUUCUUGCCACACAACUACCAAAUCAAUUUGGAGACCGCAUGGAUUCUGCUCUAUACUCGACUUCGACUGCUCAUUUACCUUUCUUCUACAUCUCCCUGUAUAUGGUGGCCUUUGCUCAAGGUGGGCACAAACCUUGUGUGCAAGCAUUUGGGGCAGACCAAUUUGAUGAGAAGGACCCUGAAGAAUAUGCCUCGAGGAGUUCCUUCUUCAACUGGUGGUAUUUUGGGACUUAUGGAGGCACUCUUGUUACAGUUUCAAUCUUGAAUUACAUUCAAGAUAACAUAAGCUGGCAGUAUGGGUUUGGAAUCCCGUGCGUCGUCAUGUCUCUUUCUCUUGCAGUUUUCUGGCUUGGGACCAGGACUUACCGCUUUUACCCUGUUAGAAGUGAUGGAAGUCUAUUUGGAGAGGUUCGCAGAUACCUUUUAUCAUUAAUUAGAACCUGGCAUGCAUCAUGGUGUUUGAGAUCACCUGAUGAUUCUCACUGCAUGCCAACAUCGACAUCCAGCGAAGCCAAGGAUAAUGCAGAAAUGAUAUGUUUCCCUGAUGAAGCCAAGUCAGUGCUUAAGUUGUUUCCGAUAGGAGCAACCUGCCUGAUCUAUGCAGUUGUUUAUGCCCAGUGGAUGACGAUGUUCACUAAACAAGCAAGUACACUAGAUAGGUGGGUAGGUAGCCUACAUGUACCAGCUGCUUCCCUACAAAGCCUGAUCAGCGUGUCAAUCAUCAUCUCAAUCCCUAUAUAUGACCAGAUACUCGUUCCGCUAGCCAGAAAGUACUCAAAGAACCCCAGUGGUAUCACACCCUUGCAAAGGAUUGGAGCUGGACUAGCCAUCUCUGUGGUCUUGAUGGUUGUCGCGGCCCUUGUGGAGAUGAGAAGGCUCAGGAUAGCCAGAGAAUAUGGCCUAGUGGACAAACCUGAAGCGACCAUUCCGAUGAGCUUUUGGUGGAUGGUACCCCAGUUUGUCCUGGCCGGUCUGGCAGACAUGUUCACAGUGGUCGGCCUGCAAGAAUUCUUCUAUGACCAAGUGCCGGAGGAUCUGCGCAGCAUGGGCCUUGCCUUAUACCUGAGCAUACUCGGGGCCGGGAGCUUCGCCAGUGGCAUUCUGGUGUACGCAAUCGACUGGGUAACCAGCAACGGCGGAGAUAGUUGGUUCUCGGACAAUCUAAACCGCGGUCAUCUCGAUUACUUCUACUGGCUUCUGGCCGUGCUCAGUGUUCUCGGGCUGGCUGCUUUUCUUUACUUUUCACAAGUGUAUGUCCACAAGAAAAAGGGCAUUUCAGCACAAUGA